rnacentral:lncRNA from 1 species
CUUGGAAAUGUUUUUUAGUACUACCCACAACUAUUUCCAAAAUGAAUAAGUUUGUUUUUAAAGAAGGAUAAAAAAAUAAUGACAAAUUGGAACCUUAUGGACUAUUAAAACUCUCUGGCAGAAAGAACUGUCAGCAUGAUUGAUAUCUAGAAAUUCUGUUUUCAAAGUCAUUAAAAAGCUGUGUUCCAGUCUUUGAGCUCUUGGGAGAAACCUCGCUAGAUUACUUCCUGUUGUCUAAUUUCUGAAAAUAUCCUCCCCAGAAGAGGCACAACAAUAGAAUCAUGUUAGAAAUCUAAAUACCAGGGUCUUUUUCUGUCCUGUCUGUUCUGCGUCCACUAGAAGAGUGUCUUUCCCAGGAUAUGUCUCUUCCCUGGCUGCUCUGCAUCUGGUCUCAGCCUGAGGUCCCCCAAGAACUCCUUGCCCUUUAAGACAAGCAGCUGAUGGAAAGAGAAUAUCCAGACCGUUGUGGACUUCACAGAAUUUGCACUCGUGAUCCAAGGCUGCUAAUGGCUGUGACCCAUGCCUAUGUCAAAGAUGACAGCUAUAGAGUCUGCGACAGGAGGACUUGCAACAAAG